rnacentral:lncRNA from 1 species
AAAGCUUCUAGAUGGAUCCUUUCCAUGUUUGGUGUCUUUUCUACAAACUCUGUGCCUCAGCAGCCCUUUCUAAGUGAGCUGAAGCCAUUUAUUUGAUCUUGGAUGAUUAACACCUAAAUGGUUGAUUGUCAAAACUGCUCAAGAGUCCCACAGCCAGGAUUCGAUGAUCCAGCUUACCACCAAGAAAUUAUUGUCUUGAAUUCUACGCUUCAGCACCAGUCAGCAAAGUGAAUAAGUACUGCACUUCUUCCAACUCUCAUUCCACUU